UAAGGCGUUUCCAUUAUAUUCUGUUCACAGAAUAAUUUAUUCAUAAUACUAACGAUAUUUGGGCAUUUUCUGAAGAAAUGCUGAUUACUAUGGCAUCGUUAGGGUGUUGCCAUGCGAUAGCAAUGCAUUUCCGGUAUUUGCUAAGGCGUUGCUAUGCGGUUGUUAUAAAUGAUUUCCAUUAUAUUUCGUUUGCAGAAUUCAUUAAAUUACCCAUUAAACAUUAAAUAAUUUAAGUAAUGCCACAAAGUGUUGGCUGGAAAAUAUAAUACUAUCUAUAUUCGGGCAUUUUCUGAAGAACUGCAAUUACUAUGGCAUCGUUAGGGUGUUGCCAUGCAGUAGCAACACAUUUCCAGUAUUUGCAAGGCGUUUCCAUUAUAUUCUCUUCAUAGAAUAAUUUAUUAAUUAAAUUACUCAUUAAACAUUAACUCAAUUAAGUAAUGACACAAAGUUUUUGCUGGGAAUAUAAUAAGCUACUAACUAUAUUCGGGCAUUUUCUGAAGAAAUGCCGAUUACUAUGGCGUCGUUAGGGUGUUGCCAUGCUAUGAGAGGUUGUCAGGGCGUUGCUAAGUGCCCCCAGUCUCUCGAUAUGGCUCUCGUGUCCCUCCUCCUUUUUCUCAGCUGCCUUCUGGUCCAGCAGGUGAAAAUGCGGCGUCUGAUCACUGAGUAAAGACGCAGCGUGAUUUGAGGAAUCAUGCGUGUCUGGAGAAUCAAGUUUAUUCGAGGCAAACCGCUCUAAUGACGCGCGUUUGAACCUCGCGCUUGAUGGCGCGUGCGUGCAUGACCUCACUAUUCCUCACAGCUGUGCGAGAGAGAGAAAGAGAGCAGCAGCAGACGCGCUCGCGCUUCCCAGCGCUCCGUCGGUAUGUCUCAAGCCGUUCUCCGUGUAUUAAAAUGACCACAUGCGGGCCAAGUUGAUCCGCGCCCGCCUGCUCGUCAACGACAGCGUUGCGCACUGGAAUCAAACAUGGACGAGUCGUCGCUGCUGGAUCUGUUGGAGUGUUCGGUGUGUCUGGAGCGGCUGGACACGAGCGCCAAAGUGCUGCCCUGUCAGCACACCUUCUGCCGCCGCUGCCUCGAGAACAUCGUGAGCUCCAGACACGAGCUGCGCUGCCCGGAGUGCCGCAUCCUGGUGGACUGUGCGGUCGACGAUCUCCCGGCCAACAUCCUGCUGGUCCGCUUACUGGACGGGAUUAAACAGCGACCGAAGAACGGAGGAGGGAGGACGUCGCUGGUGGGAUGCGCGGCCGGAGUGUCGGCUUCGCCCCCGGGGACAGCUGUGCGGGACCUGCCCGUCGCCACGCGCAGCUCCCCGGUCAAGAACGUUCCUCAGCUGCCGUGUGGAAAAGCUCUUUACAGCUACGAGGGCAAAGAACCAGGUGACCUGAAGUUCAACAAAGGCGACAUCAUUAUCCUGCGGAGGAAGGUGGACGAGAACUGGUUCCACGGCGAGUUGAACGGCCUCCACGGCUUCCUGCCGGCCAGUUACAUCCAGUGCAUCCGACCGCUGUCACAGACGCCUCCGCAGGGGAAAGCGCUGUACGACUUUGAGGUCAAAGACAAAGACCAGGACAAAGACUGCCUGACCUUCACUAAGGACGAGAUUCUGACCGUGAUACGAAGAGUGGACGAUAACUGGGCAGAAGGCAUGCUGGGAGAUAAGAUUGGGAUUUUUCCUAUCCUAUACGUGGAGCUGAAUGAAGCGGCCAAGCAGCUGAUGGAGAUGGACAAACCCUCGCCGGUCCCGGGCCCGAGCGCUGACCCCGGUUCUCCCGCCGCCGUCAGCUGUAACGGGAACGGCGUCCACAGACGGGUGGAGGGCAAGAAGAACGCGAAGAAGCGCCACUCGUUCACGGCGCUCAGCAUGACGCAGCGCACGGCGCAGGUGCUCGGGAACAACAGACACUCCAUGGAGAUCAGCGCGCCGGUCCUCAUCAGCUCCUCUGACCCGCGAGCGGCGGCGCGGAUCGGAGACUGUCCACACCUGUCCUCCAGCGCGCCCGCCUCACAGGACUCUUCAGUCGCAGGAGCUGCGGUUCCUCCGCGCGUCACGUCUGCGGCCGGAGAGCUGCUCGCCGCUGCUAAAGUCCAGCUGCCUCUCAACAUCUAUCUGGCCAUGUACGCUUACAAACCGCAGAAGGCCGACGAGCUGGAGCUGCGUAAGGGCGAGAUGUACCGCGUGACCGAGAAGUGUCAGGACGGAUGGUUCAAAGGAACGUCGCUGCGCUCCGGAGCGUCGGGAGUUUUCCCGGGAAACUACGUCACGCCCGUCUCCAGGGCUCCGUUUGCCGUCGGUCAGACGCGCUCCUGUCUCUCUGGAGCGGCUCAGUCUAAGGUGGUUCCUGGAUCUCCGGGCUCCGCCGGCCCCUCGAGUCCCGUCCUGAUGGCCUCUGCAUCUCGCUCCAGCACGCCGCUGUCCAGCCCGUCGUCUCCGCACAUGAAGAACUGUCUGCGCUUGUCCAGCCAGCAAACUGUCAAUCAAGCGCGCUCCGCCAUGCAGUUAGUCCACAGUCCUCCGGCGAGCAGCAGCCCCGAGCGGCCCGCGGCGGCCGUGACCCCUCUGCGACCCCAGGGCAGCCCCUCACGCUCCCCCGCUCGACCCCUCUCUAUGGUGGCGGCGCCUCAGGUGCAUCCCUCGCUGCAGUCCGGUCCGCUCUCUCCGGCCUCCGUACGACCCCUCAUGCCUCUGACCUCCGCCGCGGCCGCCAUCACGCCGCCCAACGUCACCGCGGCCCAUCUGAACGGAGGAGACGCGUCUGUCUGUGCGCUGCAGCCCGCUUCACCCGCGCACGCCGCAGUCGCCGGCCAUCCCAAACACGAGGAGAAGAAGGUGGAGAAGAAGGAAAAGAAGAGCAGUGGCCUCCUCAAGCUGCUUUCUGGAGCCGCAGCCAAAAAGAAGUCUCGCUCGCCGCCGUCCGUCUCUCCCACACAUGAGCCGGCCUCCACCUCGUCCUCGGUGCAGGGAGCCAUGGCUCCCGAGCUGCGCUCCGCCGGCGGUCACGGCCGGGCCGGAUCCUGCCCCAUCGAGAGCGAGAUGCAGGGAGCCAUGGGCAUGGAGCCUCUGCACAGAAAGUCUGGCUCGCUGGAUCUCAACUUCUCCGUGUCUCCACCAGCUCGACAGGCCUGCUCGUCCUCACCGCUGGCCGUCCGGCCCGAACCCAAGCCAUUAUCCCGAGAGAGGUACCGUGUGCUCGUCCCGUACCCGCCGCAGAGCGAGGCCGAGAUUGAGCUGAAGGAAGGCGACAUUGUGUUUGUGCACAAGAAACGUGAGGACGGCUGGUACAAGGGGACGCUUCAGCGCACCGGCCGGACGGGCCUCUUCCCCGGCAGCUUUGUGGAGAGUUUCUAGAUGAGAAGCACCAGCCAACAAGCUCCGAUUCCCGUGACGGGAUCUCCAGGAUCGUCCGGAAUAUCUCAUGCUCAUAAUGCCCAGAAUAAGCAGACACACAGUCAUGAAGACGAGCACAAAGAGGAGCAUCUUCACUGCCAUCGUCCUCAUACAUCCGUUAGGAAUAAAUGAUGCUCAUCUGCAGGAGCGUUGAAUCAUGGGAUGUGCAUGCCGGUUUACUGCCUCAUCAGUCUUUACAGACAUUAUCUGUCUCUGGUUUACUGAGCGUCCCGUGGAGGUUUGAUGCCUGAAGCGUCUUUGCUCUCUACCUGCUGGUGUUGAGCUCCAUAGAGUUUCAAGAACUAUUUUCAUGAAUUUUCCAUGUGCUCAAUGUGCCGUAGACCAGAAACCGACUCUACGCGAGUACACAAACGUGUUUGACCAGGUGUGUAUUUAAUUGGCGCAUAUCAGUAUUGUUUUAAAUAAUCAUAAUCUUCCCCUCCUUCUCACAGUGACUUCUCUUCUCUGAUGAUGAGGGCGGGGCAACCUGUCACUCACAUGAGAUCCACCAAUAGCAAACCACAACCAUCCAAUCAAUCAAAAUCAAGCCCCACAUUACAUUUGUUCUUGUUUGCAAAGCAUUUCACUCUGAUAUAUGUCACAACGGGGAAGAAAAGACGAGCGCAACUUCAGUUUCAUGCCGACACUAAUGUGUUGUGAGUGCAUUUCAAACAUCCGUGUUCCUGUACUCGUGUAGAGUUUGUUUCAGGCGUUUAUCAGAAGCCGUUUUAUCUCCGUCAGACGCUGCUCUACAUUAGAGGAGACCGACGGACCUGUUGAGUUCAGAUGAAGCAGCACAUCUUUAUUUUUAUAGACGCUCAGGAGAGACUCAAACAACAACCAGCAUCACAGCGGCGUCUGAAGCACAAACUCACCGUCACACACAGUGGGGUUCAGUCAGAGGAGAACAUGUUUCAUUUCAUGAAUUGAGGCUAAAUUAGUUAUUUUCUGUGGUUCAGCCAACAAAAUAUCUUUGUCAUUCUUAUUAAAUUCCUCUUGAAAAUACAGUAGUGGCCAAAGGUGAAUGACCUCAAAAGUUUGGAAAAAUGUUUUUGAAGGAAGUCUCUUCUGCUCAUCAAGACUGCAUUUAUUUGAUCAAAAAUACAGUAAAAAUUGUGAAAAA